GCCAGACGUGGUGGCGCAUGCCUGUAAUCCCAGCUACUCAGGAGGCUGAGGCAGGAGAAUCGCUUGAACCUGGGAGGCUGAGGUGGUAGUGAGCUGAGAUCAUGCCACUGCACUCCAGCCUGGGUGACAGAGUGAGACUCAGUCUCAA
ensembl:misc_RNA Metazoa_SRP Metazoan signal recognition particle RNA